AUUGAACGCUGGCGGCGUGCCUAACACAUGCAAGUCGAGCGGCAGCGCGGGAGCAAUCCUGGCGGCGAGCGGCGGACGGGUGAGUAACGCUUGGGAAUCUGCCUAUUAGUGGGGGACAACCCGGGGAAACUCGGGCUAAUACCGCAUACGCACUACGGUGGAAAGCCGGGGACCGCAAGGCCUGGCGCUAACAGAUGAGCCCAAGUCGGAUUAGCUAGUUGGUAGGGUAACGGCCACCAAGGCGACGAUCCGUAACUGGUCUGAGAGGACGACCAGUCACACCGGAACUGAGACACGGUCCGGACUCCUACUGGAGGCAGCAGUGGGGAAUAUUGGACAAUGGGGGAAACCCUGAUCCAGCGACGCCGCGUGGGUGAAGAAGGCCUGCGGGUUGUAAAGCCCUUUCAGUGGGGAAGAAAGCCUCGACCUAAUACGUCGGGGUCUUGACGUAACCCAUAGAAGAAGCACCGGCUAACUCUGUGCCAG
rnacentral:rRNA from 1 species